rnacentral:rRNA from 1 species
UACGUAGGGGGCAAGCGUUGUCCGGAUUUAUUGGGCGUAAAGAGCGUGUAGGCGGCCAUACAGGUCAGCUGUGAAAACUCGAGGCUCAACCUCGAGACGUCGGUUGAAACCGUAUGGCUAGAGUCCGGAAGAGGAGAGUGGAAUUCCCGGUGUAGCGGUGAAAUGCGCAGAUAUCGGGAAGAACACCCAUGGCGAAGGCAGCUCUCUGGGACGGUACUGACGCUGAGAAGCGAAAGCAUGGGGAGCGAACAGG